AUUUCUAUUUGCUCCAUAAAUGCUUGUUUGUUUCACUUGACAGUUGAGUCUGCAGCGUCACACAUGAUCAAACUGUGGGGCUGAUGAUUGGGAAUCUGACAUGGAUAAAGCGUUGAGAUUGUACUACAGAGCACCGUCGACCAAUCGAUUUGUACUCCAUCUGAGCGGUUACCAUGUACUUGAGUGUGACAGAAUACGUACUCUGUACUAUGUGCCCAAAGAUGCUAUAUCUGGUAUCUGCGGUUGAUGCUUUAGACAUUCUAUCGCUCCGUACUCUGUCUCGAUCGACGGGAUAUCAGCAUAUCACCACGGAUAUUCCUGCAACAAUCGAUAUUAGCCAACCUGCGAUAAACCAAUUGAUUAUAGAUAGAUGUAUUUAUCACAGUUCAACUUGCCUCAUUCUUCCACGUCCAAAAUGUCCCAGUAUGCUCAAUAUUCUUGCUCUGAACCACAUCGAUCAUCGCAACCACCGAUUCUUCCGCCGUUAUCUGUCCGCCAGAAAUUUCCCAUGCAAUACCGAGAUUGCCCAUGUCUCUGUUGUAAGGCUUUUAGUGAUGCAGGGCUAGUAUAAUGGUAUCUCUUUGUUUGCGUUUCAGUUCCUCGGCCAUGUGCUUUUUUCAACCUAUGUCAGCACUGUUUCAACCAUGAAUCGUAUUGGUGGUGGGCCAUUCGACAUACCCGUAAGGCUUGAUUUAGUGCUGCUUUUGAUGCGCCAUAUGCAGCAAACCUGAGACGAUAAGCAAGGAAC
rnacentral:lncRNA from 1 species